AUUGAACGCUAGCGGCAUGCUUUACACAUGCAAGUCGAACGAGUGGCGGACGGGUGAGUAAUGUCUCGGAACGUGCCCAGUAGCGGGGGAUAACUACUGGAAAGAGUGGCUAAUACCGCAUACUAUUAGAUCUGCCCAUUUCGGAUUAGCUAGUUGGUGGGGUAAAGGCUCACCAAGGCAACGAUCCGUAGCUGGUUUGAGAGGAUGACCAGCCACACUGGAACUGAGACACGGCCCAGACUCCUACGGGAGGCAGCAGUGGGGAAUAUUGGACAAUGGGGGAAACCCUGAUGCAGCCAUCCCGCGUGUAUGAGAAGGCCUUCGGGUUGUAAAGUACUUUCAGCAGAGAGGCGGUAUCUGCAGAAUAAGCACCGGCUAACUACGUGCCAGCAGCCGCGGUAAUUC
rnacentral:rRNA from 1 species